ensembl:misc_RNA Metazoa_SRP Metazoan signal recognition particle RNA
GCUGGGUGUGGUGGUGGGCGCCUGUAGUCCCAGCUACUGGGAGGCUGAGGCAGGAGAAUCACUUGAACCCAGGAGGCGGAGGUUGCAGUGAGCCAAGAUCACGCCACUGCACUCCAGCCUGGGCAACAGAGUAAGAUUCUGUCUCUA